rnacentral:rRNA from 1 species
GACGAACGCUGGCGGCGUGCCUAAUACAUGCAAGUAGAACGCUGAAGGAGGAGCUUGCUUCUCUGGAUGAGUUGCGAACGGGUGAGUAACGCGUAGGUAACCUGCCUGGUAGCGGGGGAUAACUAUUGGAAACGAUAGCUAAUACCGCAUAAUAGUAGAUGUUGCAUGACAUUUGCUUAAAAGGUGCAAUUGCAUCACUACCAGAUGGACCUGCGUUGUAUUAGCUAGUUGGUGAGGUAACGGCUCACCAAGGCGACGAUACAUAGCCGACCUGAGAGGGUGAUCGGCCACACUGGGACUGAGACACGGCCCAGACUCCUACGGGAGGCAGCAGUAGGGAAUCUUCGGCAAUGGACGGAAGUCUGACCGAGCAACGCCGCGUGAGUGAAGAAGGUUUUCGGAUCGUAAAGCUCUGUUGUAAGAGAAGAACGAGUGUGAGAGUGGAAAGUUCACACUGUGACGGUAUCUUACCAGAAAGGGACGGCUAACUACGUGCCAGCAGCCGCGGUAAUACGUAGGUCCCGAGCGUUGUCCGGAUUUAUUGGGCGUAAAGCGAGCGCAGGCGGUUAGAUAAGUCUGAAGUUAAAGGCUGUGGCUUAACCAUAGUACGCUUUGGAAACUGUUUAACUUGAGUGCAAGAGGGGAGAGUGGAAUUCCAUGUGUAGCGGUGAAAUGCGUAGAUAUAUGGAGGAACACCGGUGGCGAAAGCGGCUCUCUGGCUUGUAACUGACGCUGAGGCUCGAAAGCGUGGGGAGCAAACAGG